CUACGGGUGGCUCCAGUGGGGAAUAUUGGACAAUGGGGGGAACCCUGAUCCAGCCAUGCCGCGUGUGUGAAGAAGGCCUUUUGGUUGUAAAGCACUUUAAGCAGUGAAGAAGACUCUUCGGUUAAUACCCGGGGACGAUGACAUUAGCUGCAGAAUAAGCACCGGCUAACUCUGUGCCAGCAGCCGCGGUAAUACAGAGGGUGCAAGCGUUAAUCGGAAUUACUGGGCGUAAAGCGAGCGUAGGUGGCUUGAUAAGUCAGAUGUGAAAUCCCCGGGCUUAACCUGGGAACUGCAUCUGAAACUGUUAGGCUAGAGUAGGUGAGAGGGAAGUAGAAUUUCAGGUGUAGCGGUGAAAUGCGUAGAGAUCUGAAGGAAUACCGAUGGCGAAGGCAGCUUCCUGGCAUCAUACUGACACUGAGGCUCGAAAGCGUGGGUAGCAAACAGGAUUAGAUACCCCAGUAGUC
rnacentral:rRNA from 1 species